AAAUAUGAACACGUGAAUCUUAUGGAUUCUUGUCGUUUUCAAACCAGCUCAUAGCCGCCGGCCUGCCCCACCUCCCUCUGAUCUACAAGACAACACAAGAAGACUUAUGAGGAUAUAUAGAGGGAGGGAGGGAGGAAGAAGAAGGCCGGCCGGGGCGACAGAAAUGUCGGAAACUAACCCGACGAGAAGUCCGGAGUUAACGGCGGAGAGAUGCAGCAUACGAAGUAUAGAAUCGAAGUGCGGUUUCGGCUGUAACACAUGCGAGAAGGCAUCCGCUAUAACAGAACAGAACAGAACAUGACAGAAAUGUUUCGUUGUUUUUGUCAGAUUUGAUAAUUUGCAGCAACGUAACUUCAUUGUCGCUGUCUGAUCUGGUUUUAGCAGGUGCCUUCUUGUAUAUGUUGCAACUGAUGAAACCGGCGCUUUGGUUUUCAUGCUUUGUGCCGAUCUCUGCGCCACUAAUUCCGGCAUUCUCGUCGGAACCUACGUCGUACGUGAUGAUUCUCUCGAUCUCAGCUCGCAGAUCUCUCAGCUCGUAUCCUCGUCUUGUAUCGAUCCGGCAGAGCAAUUAAUCUACGAGGCUGCAACAGAUCUGAAGUCAACGUGCGGCUACUGUCGGCGUCGUCGGACGUGCAGCCGUCCAGGUAGGCCGGCGUUUCCGCAACGCGAAUCUCAGUACUGCCAGUUUUAUGAUUGCUACAUUUUACAACAAAUCUUGUCCGGUCCGAUGCGGCUAUACGCCAUGUUAGGGGAGAAACAGUUUGUUUUGACCAAAGCUAAGUAUCGCACGGAUUUUCUAAUUUUAGUAUUCUGUUGAAUAUUUUACCUAUUUAUUAUGCCCAUAAUGGUUCCUGUGUAUUGUUCAGGUGUUAGCGCUGGUAUUGUUGGAUUUGGUAGUGGAUGAAUAAUUAAUGUCUUUUUUAUCUGUUAUAUAUCGAUUAAGUUUUAGAUGUGUAACUAUAUUGAUCAAUUGUCAUUUUUGUAUGUCAUUCAUUGAGUUUUAGGUGUGUAACUAUAUUGUGUAAAAUUGUCCUCUUUGAUUGUUAUUGAUCAAGUUUUAGAUGUGCAACUAUAUUGUUCAAGGUCUAGCUUUAGUAUUGUUGGAUAGGGCCAUGGAUGACUAAUCAACGGUCCUCUUAAUCUUUCAUCGAUCAAUUUUUAAGUGUGCAACUAUAUUGUUCAAAGUCUAGCUUUAGUAUUGUUGGAUAUGGUCAUGAAUGACUAAUCAACGAUUCUCUUUAUCUAUCAUCAAUCAAAUUAGGUAUG